AAAGGCAAUGAGCAGCAGGACGGUAGCCGUGGAAGUAGGAAUCUGCUGAGGAGUGUGAAACAACUCACCCGCGGAAUCAACUAGCCCUGAAAAUGGGUGGUGCUGGA
rnacentral:ncRNA from 1 species